rfam:Schistosoma mansoni strain Puerto Rico chromosome 1, complete genome
ACACUGCUGAAGAGUCCCAAAAUAGGACGAAACGGCCGUCCAGUGC